GGUGGUGUCCUCGAGUCUAUGGGCGUUGUCACACGCUCUUCCCACAGGCGCGUUUUGGCGCACCUGUGGGUAAUCAGCGAGCGCAUAAGAGGAGCGGAUCCCCGGCACCUCGCUGCCAGAGUGUUGUCGCCUUUCGGCGCCUGACGUCCUGAGUUCUCGCGAGUCAUGUGAGCUCUCCAGCCUCACAGAAAAUCUGGAGUAUUCGUUCCUGCCUGUGCCGUCCUGUGUGCUGUGCCCACCGAGCGUGUCCUUCCAGCCAUCGGAUCCCCCUCCCAGACCAAGCCCCCCUGUGCCGUGCUACUUCUGAUUAUUGUGAAUAAAGCCUUGAACGGUU